rnacentral:piRNA from 1 species
UCAAAGGUACAUCUAUCUCCUUCUGC